AGAGUUUGAUCCUGGCUCAGGAUGAACGCUGGCUACAGGCUUAACACAUGCAAGUCGUGGGGAAACGGCAUUAUGUGCUUGCACAUUCUGGACGUCGACCGGCGCACGGGUGAGUAUCGCGUAUCCAACCUGCCCCUUACUUGGGGAUACCCCGUUGAAAGACGGCCUAAUACCCGAUGUGUUUCAUUGACGGCAUCCGAUAUGAAACAAAGGUUUUUCCGGUAAGGGAUGGGGAUGCGUCUGAUUAGCUAGUUGGCGGGGCAACGGCCCACCAAGGCGACGAUCAGUAGGGGUUCUGAGAGGAAGGUCCCCCACAUUGGAACUGAGACACGGUCCAAACUCCUACGGGAGGCAGCAGUGAGGAAUAUUGGUCAAUGGACGCAAGUCUGAACCAGCCAAGUAGCGUGCAGGAUGACGGCCCUAUGGGUUGUAAACUGCUUUUAUGCGGGGAUAAAGUGAGGGACGUGUCCUUCAUUGCAGGUACCGCAUGAAUAAGGACCGGCUAAUUCCGUGCCAGCAGCCGCGGUAAUACGGAAGGUCCGGGCGUUAUCCGGAUUUAUUGGGUUUAAAGGGAGUGUAGGCGGUCUGUUAAGCGUGUUGUGAAAUUUAGGUGCUCAACAUUUAACUUGCAGCGCGAACUGUCAGACUUGAGUACACGCAGCGCAGGCGGAAUUCAUGGUGUAGCGGUGAAAUGCUUAGAUAUCAUGAGGAACUCCGAUCGCGAAGGCAGCCUGCGGGAGUGUUACUGACGCUUAAGCUCGAAGGUGCGGGUAUCGAACAGGAUUAGAUACCCUGGUAGUCCGCACAGUAAACGAUGGAUGCCCGCCGUUGGCGCCCUGCGCCUGCGGCCAAGCGAAAGCAUUAAGCAUCCCACCUGGGGAGUACGCCGGCAACGGUGAAACUCAAAGGAAUUGACGGGGGCCCGCACAAGCGGAGGAACAUGUGGUUUAA
rnacentral:rRNA from 1 species